AGAGUUUGAUCAUGGCUCAGGACGAACGCUGGCGGCGUGCUUAACACAUGCAAGUCGAGCGGAAAGGCCACUUCGGUGGUACUCGAGCGGCGAACGGGUGAGUAACACGUGAGUAAUCUGCCCCUGGCUUUGGGAUAGCCACCGGAAACGGUGAUUAAUACCGGAUAUGACCGCUUCUCGCAUGGGUUGUGGUGGAAAGUUUUUCGGCCAGGGAUGGUGCUCGCGGCCUAUCAGCUUGAUGGUGAGGUAAUGGCUCACCAUGGCUUCGACGGGUAGCCGGCCUGAGAGGGUGACCGGUCACACUGGGACUGAGACACGGCCCAGACUCCUACGGGAGGCAGCAGUGGGGAAUAUUGGACAAUGGGCGGAAGCCUGAUCCAGCAACGCCGCGUGAGGGAUGACGGCCUUCGGGUUGUAAACCUCUUUCAGUACCGACGAAGCGCAAGUGACGGUAGGUACAGAAGAAGCACCGGCCAACUACGUGCCAGCAGCCGCGGUAAUACGUAGGGUGCGAGCGUUGUCCGGAAUUAUUGGGCGUAAAGGGCUCGUAGGCGGUUUGUCGCGUCGGGAGUGAAAACCAGGUGCUUAACACCUGGCUUGCUUUCGAUACGGGCAGACUAGAGGUAUUCAGGGGAGAACGGAAUUCCUGGUGUAGCGGUGAAAUGCGCAGAUAUCAGGAGGAACACCGGUGGCGAAGGCGGUUCUCUGGGAACAUCCUGACGCUGAGGAGCGAAAGUGUGGGGAGCGAACAGGAUUAGAUACCC
rnacentral:rRNA from 1 species